rnacentral:rRNA from 1 species
AUACGGAGGGUGCAAGCGUUGUUCGGAAUCACUGGGCGUAAAGGGCGCGCAGGCGGUUUGAUUAGUCAGAUGUGAAAGCCCACGGCUUAACCGUGGAAGUGCAUUUGAAACUGUCAGACUUGAGUAUCAGAGGGGAAAGUGGAAUUCCCGGUGUAGAGGUGAAAUUCGUAGAUAUCGGGAGGAAUACCGGUGGCGAAGGCGACUUUCUGGCUGAAUACUGACGCUGAGGCGCGAAAGCGUGGGGAGCAAACAGGAUUAGAUACCCUUGUAGUCC